CUCAGGACGAACGCUGGCGGCGUGCCUAACACAUGCAAGUCGAACGAAGUAUGUUUUUCGAAAUAUACUUAGUGGCGGACGGGUGAGUAACGCGUGAACAAUCUGCCCUAUACAAAGGAAUAGCCUCGGGAAACUGGGAUUAAAACCAUAUGACACUUAAGAGUCGCAUGAUUAUUAAGUCAAAUUGAUUAAGAGGUAUAGGAUGAGUUCGCGUCUGAUUAGCUAGUUGGUAAGGUAAUGGCUUACCAAGGCGACGAUCAGUAGCCGGCCUGAGAGGGUGAACGGCCACACUGGAACUGAGACACGGUCCAGACUCCUCGGGAGGCAGCAGUGGGGAAUAUUGCACAAUGGGGGAAACCCUGAUGCAGCGACGCCGCGUGAGUGAAGAAGGUCUUCGGAUNGUAAAACUCUGUCCUUGGUGAAGAAAAAAAUGACGGUAGCCAAGGAGGAAGCCCCGGCUAACUACGUGCCAGCAGCCGCGGUAAUACGUAGGGGGCGAGCGUUGUCCGGAUUUACUGGGCGUAAAGGGUGAGUAGGCGGUUAUAUGUGUCAGAUGUAAAAGGCUAUGGCUUAACCAUGGUUAGCAUUUGAAACUGUAUGACUUGAGUGCAGGAGAGGUAAGUGGAAUUCCUAGUGUAGCGGUGAAAUGCGUAGAUAUUAGGAGGAACACCAGUGGCGAAGGCGACUUACUGGACUGUAACUGACGCUGAGUCACGAAAGCGUGGGUAGCAAACAGGAUUAGAUACCCUGGUAGUCCACGCUGUAAACGAUGAGUGCUAGGUGUUGGCCAGCGAUGGUCAGUGCCGAAGUUAACACAAUAAGCACUCCGCCUGGGGAGU
rnacentral:rRNA from 1 species